GCAUCACCAAGAUAAGUUCUUAUGAUGGAUCGGUAAUUCAAACCAAUGGGAGAUUCUUCAACUGCAAGAAGUUGGGUGCUGUGCAUUUGUGAGAAGCGUAUAUAUUGAAGCGUCUAAAAUGUUUAUUAAAUAUGAUCUUCUUCCAGAUGACAGUUUGGGGUUGUUUUCUUGCUUGACAUAAACCAACGUUGAAGAGCUUCAAAUAUAAAGAAUUCGUCUGGAACCAAGAGGCUGGAACUUCUAAGAAUCGCUUCCAUGCAAUCAACGGUAAAGUUUAACCAAUCGGGACUGUCCGCAAGUUCUUCGAUAUUAUCAGAAAUUGCACCAUCUACACAUUUUGCGGAUUAGGUCACGUGCUUGGAUACCGCACAGCAACGCCAUGUUGGGACACAAGCAGUACCGUAUUGCAAUUUAUAGCGUUCCGAAAGGAGAUUAGAGGUUUUUAUUUUAAAAUACUAGCGAUAUACUAAGUCUAAGGCGUUCUAAAUUAAAUAUCUGUAAAGUUUAAUAGUAUUUGGAUUGUUUUUCUUGCAAUAUUUCGUCAAUAAGGCGUUUUUUUAAUAACACCAAAGCCCUCAGACAGUUGUGACCGGUAUACCACAUGGAGAACAAUCAAGGUAAGCUUUCUUCAGACUGCUUAGCAUUUUCUUUAUUUUAUUAUUGUUGGUCAUGUUUGGCUUUAUAAGCUGAGGUUUGUUCUAUCAUAUUUACCUAUUUUGUAUUAGAUGAUUAUUGCGACUUAACUUCUCCGGUUCCAAAUAAGUAGUUUAAAGGAGGAAAUUAUCACUGUUGUGUUCCAAUUUGUAGCGGUAAUAAUCAUUACAACACUUUCUUGUCAUUUCAUUGUAUGCCCAAAGAUGAGCUAAUGCGAAAGCAAUAAGUUGUCAAAAUUAGAAGGAAGGUUGGCCCAAACCUUAAAGUAGGUUCACAUAUUUUUUUAAACAGAGAAAUGCCCCUUCAUGUGACAAAAAUAUGUCUGGUUGUGCAGUGUAUUCAGCUUACACAUGUAUGGAAAUUUUUAGAUAACAUCCAAGACAAGAGUGUGUAGCAAACAUUUCAAGGAAGAAAAUUUCCAUCCUUAUAUAUAAUUCCAACAAUAAUUCGGGGAAACAACUUCUAAAAGAAGGAACAGUGCCCUCUGUAUUUGAUUGGUCAGCAACCACAAAUACAAGGCCAAAAGUUUUAAGACAUAAUGUUUGAUGAAAGGUGUGUAUGUAUGUAGCUAAACCGGGGCAGGUAUCUGAAGUUAGUAUUUCACAAACUUAUUGUUGUUAACACAAACAGAUGAAAAUGAUAUGGAAGCAGAUGAUGCUUAAAACCAACUCCCUAAAUCAAACCCAAAGCAUUUGUGAAGAGCUCCAAGAGACUAAAGCACAGCUAGCUCUUAUGCAAGCCGAACUGACAGCGUCCAGGAGAAGUAGUAGCUGCAAAAGAGGAAUUCCGAGUACAAAAGGAGAAAGCUGCAGCAGAAGUUGUUAUCUACAAAUUUAGUUUGGAAAGACUCUCCACAGAUAAUGAUGCCAUA